CGCAGGGAACCUCGAGACUAAAUUGCUGCCCCUGGUUAAGGAGGGGGGUGUGGAUGCCCACCUCACUGCCUUUGAGCAGGCUGGCGAUUUGAACCAAGGGGACCCUGCGGAAAAGCCCCGGUGUCUAGCUCCCUUGCUGGGUCCCAAGGCCAUAGACUCCGUCAGCCAGGUGGUUGGGGAUGUGGACAGGCUCCCACUCCUGACCCCAACCUAUAUGUCUGUGUGGAGUUUCCUGGGGCCAGGCCCCCGGACCUCCAGUGGGAGUAGAAGGUGAUGGUCAAUGGGGAGACAUUCUUGGGGUGGCCAAAGGGCAUGGGCUGCAUAAACCUUCCCACAUGCGGCCUGCGAGUGCUAUCGACCACCCCUGACCUAAGGGAGGGCGUGAAACUGGAAGGGCCUGGUGUAACUCCUACCAAGGAAUGGGAGAGAUGCUGGGGCAUCCAUGGGAACGUUGGUGGCUUCGAACUUCCCCAGGUCACCGGCUAAAGUGACCCCGCUCAGUUCGAUCUCGAAGGGGGAGAGAUGUGACGAAGUGGGACUGUUCUUAAUGUUUCCUCUGAAUAGUGUGGGGGUGCCUCAGUUUCCCCUAGGCAGUUCUUAAGUAUCUAGGGGGUGGGGUAAGGGUGUAUGAUCAUUGCAGAGCCCUAGAGGGCAGGUGUGUGCAAGGGUCUGGACACAGACAAUGGCCGACAUCCUGUUUCCUGGCAACUGAUGGCCUGGGCCCUUCCCCCCCUGCAAGGUGAGAGCUGAAGGGUUGGAGAACAAAGGAAUCAGGUGACCACCUGGCCCAGGAAAGGAACAAAGCCCAGAGGAGGAGGGGCUGGAGGGAGUUUCAGUUGGGGGCUGGCUGGGACAUGGAGUGAAGGGCAGACAUGGUUGUCUGACUCACUGCCCCCCAAAAUGGACCCAGCUGAGGGGUCCCGUUCUCUGCACCUGCAAGCUCUGUUUUAGACCAUGUUCCUGUCGUCUAAUAAACCUUCUGUUUUACUGGCUGGCUGAGAGUCCCGUCUGACUGCGGAGUUGGGGGGCAGGACCCUCUGGCUUCCCCAGGAGCCCCGCCUGAGCGGACUCGCUGGAGGGAAGCGCACGGAGGGGCAGAGGAUGCUGAAUGCUCCGAGGUCAGACCCAGGAAGGUGGAAGCUGUGUGAGCUGCGUGUCCUGAAGACAGGCUGCUCACAGAAAGGCGACUGCCCCAGAGUCCUGACUGGCUUCAUGGGGAGCAGUUCCAGAACAUCGCCCAGGGACUCC